GGCUGAAAUUCGCCUUCAUGAAGCCGGAAUUGCUAGUAAUGACAGGUCAGCAUACUGCCGUGAAUACGUUCCCGGGCCUUGUACACACCGCCCGUCACACCAUGAGAGUUGGGAAUACCCGAAGCCUGUGAGCUAACGUAAGAGGCAGCAGUCGAAGGUAGAAUCAAUGAUUGGGGUGAAGUCGUAACAAGGUAGC
rnacentral:rRNA from 1 species